UACGUAGGAGGCGAGCGUUGUCCGGAGUUACUGGGCGUAAAGGGUGCGCAGGCGGCCGCGCGCGUGGGUGGUGAAAUCUCCCGGCUCAACUGGGAGGGGGCCAUCCAGACGGCGUGGCUUGAGGCUCGGAGGGGGGCGUGGAAUUCCGGGUGGAGCGGUGAAAUGCGUAGAGAUCCGGAGGAACACCGACGGCGAAGGCAGCUCGCUGGGACGGUACUGACGCUGAGACGCGAAAGCGUGGGAGCA
rnacentral:rRNA from 1 species